CCACGUGAAGGCCUUUGAGUCGCGGGCAGCGUCUCUCCGCGCUGCCACCUUCGAUUUCACAUCAGGUCUACUACUCGUACAGAGUAGGUCUCAAGGCGAGCCGCCACGCUCCAGCCCCUCACAAGCAAAGCUGCAAUACGCGACAAACAGCGAAAGCUCGACGCCCCGGGCCAAUGGCUUCUUGACACGUCACCGCCUUCCCUUCAAGCCCUUCAAGUGCCUUGCCGACGUGGGGACCUAGCUAGGCGGGGGUUUCAAUAUAAAACUGCAGAGCUAGCUAGCACCGACUAACGACAAAGAAAGGCAAAUAAGCUUGGGGCUGGGGCCCGGCCAAAUGGCGCCUCCGUCCUGUCCGUCCUCCCGGCCGGGACGGUGCGGGGAUUCGUGUGGGCCUCCCUUCUUCCUCCAGGCGUCCUUGGCUCAGUGGUAGGCGAUGAUUUUUCCCCUCUGCUCAAACAGUUUCUUGGCUGCCUGCUUUCUGUAGGUAUUGUCUUUAGGUCACCUUCUUGCUUUCUUUUCUGUUUGCUCCGCUUGCUUUUCGUCUUGCUCGAUCCAUCCGGACCCCCCCACCCCCAAUGGUGAGAACUCGCCGGCCUAGAUAUGCCGCCGGCCGGCUAACAAAAUCAAGCAAGGUGGCUGUAGAACGUGCUUACCGAUCGAUCGAUUCGGCAGCUUUAGAGGUCUGGUAAUGGAGAGGGGACGGUGCAUGGAGGACGAUCGAUGGGCUCGGAGAGCAAUGCCGCGCGAGGGCGUACUGGCUGCACGGGGAAUAUCUACCAGCCCUAGCUAGGAUGUGGGUGCGCGCCGUCGCCGGUGACCUCAAUUUGGCGGACCAAGCGGCACACAUACAAGGGUGGUGGCGAGGCAAAUCCAGACUCGAGAGGGCUGGGCUUGGUGACCGCGCUCUGGCCACAAUGAUGCCGACAUCGGCAUUGGGCUCCCGCCGGCCACGCGCUCUAGCUAGCUCCUGUGGGAAGCGUGAGCAUGCACCGCUAACGCACGGACAUUCGCCGGCGGUGCUUGCUGCCUUGGCCGGCCGGCAACGCAUGCAGGUCAGUUACUCAGUUUUGCUCACUGCCUCCUUCCUGCUGUGCCUUAGGAAGUUGCUAAUUUUGAGGGAAUCUGACCCACCAAUUUUUCCUUGGUUGUGUUCCUACUUCCGGGCCGGGGAAAAUCUUAAGGAAGACUGGCCGAAGGUUCCUGACGAUCCACGCAGCAUGGGCUCAGAGCAGCAACGGGCUUGUAAAACAUCCCCAAAAAUACGGUCUCAAGAAUGCUUAUCUUAAUGUAGUAAAAGAAAAGAGGAUGCCUGACGAACUAAACUUUGUUACCCCAUCAUGACAGUCACUAGUAUAGGCUUAUGAAUGACUAAAUAAGCCUCCAUACAUGGUAUCUUGAUUUGACAAUAAUCAUAUAUGCCGCGUACUUAACUAGUUAAUUUAAGAAUGCAUUACAUUUUUGACCUUUAAGUUUCAGUUUCUGACCCAUUUAGUGGGAUUUCCGUUUUUCUUACCAAUUUAUCAAAAGUUCUACCAAUAACGGUCUCAUUUAAGCUUUUAACCCGAAUCCACUUUGUUCUGACAAGUGGGUCGUACGAUCUAGUUCCAUCCCAUCGCCGUCAAUGCUACCUAAUCCGAGGAUGACGCCUCGGUCCUGGGACGUCUCAGCCUCGCAAAAGCCAGCCUAAUCCAUCCAACUCGCAAUCUGAUCCAGCAAAAGCCAGCAAGUGUAGGAGGACUAUUAAUUGUUUGAUUGCAUCCUACUCUACUAAUCCAACUUUGCAUCCGUCGUUGUUCGUCUUCUUCCUGCUCGGUCUCUCUUGAUCCAUGAAGCUCCUUCCAAUGGCGGCGGCCGGGGGAUCAACAUUCCGGCAUCUCUACCUCUCCACUUACAACUCGGUCGUCUUCUUCGGAUGGUGCGCUCCCGAUCCAUCCAUCCAUGGCUUGCAUUGGAUCUCCCUUGCUUCCUUCUCUUGGGUUUGGCCGUGAAGUUCUUGGAUUCUUUGCAUGAUGUUGUACUAUAUGACUACGCGGCAUCAGCCGUCAAAGCUUAAAAAACAUUUUUAUUUUUUAUUUUUUUUGAGUGAAUUUCAUUUACUAUUUUUUUAUGGGAUCAUUUGUGGCAAAACUUUGGCUAGAUGGGGUGAAAAAAAAUGAAAAUCUCACUAAAUGGGGUCAAAGUUGUAGAAAAACUAGAACUUGAAGGUCAAAAAUGAAAUUCACUCUUAAUUUCA